AGGACGAACGCUGGCGGCGUGCCUAACACAUGCAAGUGGAGCGACGAACCGGGCUUCGGCCCGGGGCAAAGCCGCGAACGGGUGAGUAACACGUGGGUAACCUGCCCCGAUGAUUGGGACAACCCGAGGAAACUCGGGCUAAUACCGAAUGUGCCCUCCGGCCUCAAGGCCGCUGGGGAAAGGAAGCUUCGGCCUCCGCAUCGGGAUGGGCCCGCGGCCCAUUAGCUUGUUGGUGAGGUAACGGCUCACCAAGGCGACGAUGGGUAGCUGGUCUGAGAGGACGAUCAGCCACACUGGGAUUGAGAACGGCCCAGACUCCUACGGGGGCAGCAGUGAGGAAUUUUCGUCAAUGGGGGCAACCCUGAACGAGCAACGCCGCGUGCAGGAAGAAGGUUUUCGGAUCGUAAACUGACUUUUCUCGGGGAAGAGAAUGGACGGUACCCGAGGAAUCACGCCCCGGCUAACUACGUGCCAGCAGCCGC
rnacentral:rRNA from 1 species